rnacentral:rRNA from 1 species
GACGAACGCUGGCGGCGUGCCUAAUACAUGCAAGUAGAACGCUGAAGGAAGGAGCUUGCUCUUUCUGGAUGAGUUGCGAACGGGUGAGUAACGCGUAGGUAACCUGCCUGGUAGCGGGGGAUAACUAUUGGAAACGAUAGCUAAUACCGCAUAAAAUUGAUUAUUGCAUGAUAGUCAAUUAAAAGGUGCAACUGCACCACUACCAGAUGGACCUGCGUUGUAUUAGCUAGUUGGUGGGGUAACGGCUCACCAAGGCGACGAUACAUAGCCGACCUGAGAGGGUGAGCGGCCACACUGGGACGGAGACACGGCCCAGACUCCUACGGGAGGCAGCAGUAGGGAAUCUUCGGCAAUGGACGGAAGUCUGACCGAGCAACGCCGCGGGAGUGAAGAAGGUUUUCGGAUCGUAAAGCUCUGUUGUAAGAGAAGAACGAGUGUGAGAGUGGAAAGUUCACACUGUGACGGUAGCUUACCAGAAAGGGACGGCUAACUACGUG